rnacentral:lncRNA from 1 species
AAUAAAUCAUAUAAACAUAAAUAUUCAUAGACAUGUUCAUCAUAACAACAACAACAAAAUUUAAAAAGAUAGGGAUCAAGAAGCAAAUCCGGUGUUUCUUCGUGGCUUGGCUAGGUUGCUCUGCUCUUUCUUCUUCACUUGUUCUUUUUGAACCAAGGCUUCUAUGAACACUUGAAUACUGCUCCAAAUGAUGGAUAAAUGACUCUUUUUCAAGAGGUGAAAUCGGCAAGAGGACA